rnacentral:rRNA from 1 species
UACAGAGGGGGCAAGCGUUGUUCGGAAUUACUGGGCGUAAGGGGCGCGUAGGCGGCCUGCUAAGUCGAACGUGAAAUCCCCGGGCUCAACCCGGGAACUGCGUCCGAUACUGGCAGGCUUGAAUUCGGGAGAGGGAUGCGGAAUUCCAGGUGUAGCGGUGAGAUGCGUAGAUAUCUGGAGGAACACCGGUGGCGAAGGCGGCAUCCUGGACCGAAAUUGACGCUGAGGCGCGAAAGCCAGGGGAGCAAACGGG